UCUUAAAAUGUAUAUUUCAGAUCUAGGGGUGUCAAAAUGGUUCAAAAUUCAUGGGUCAACUCAACUCAACUCAACUCAAUCCAUGAACCCUAAUGAGUUGAAAAUUUUGAUUCAAAUGAGUUGAUGGGUCAAAUGAGUUGAUGAGUCAAUUGGUUUGAUGAGUAAAAUGAGUUGGGUUGUAAUGGUUAAUGGUUUCAAUGGUUUACCCAAUUAACCCAUCAAGUUUUGUAAAAUUGAAUUAAACCAACUAAAAUCUCUAAACCAAUGCCAAUUUAAGUUUAACCAACACAUCUAAACCAAUUUAAUAAAAUUAAUAUUUUUCCAAAUUUCUUAAAUAUACAAGCGAUGAAAUUGAGAAAAAGUAAACUCGUAAUUUUUUCA
rnacentral:sRNA from 1 species